rnacentral:rRNA from 1 species
GACGUAGGGCGCGAGCGUUGUCCGGAUUUAUUGGGCGUAAAGAGCUCGUAGGCGGCUUGUUGCGUCGACUGUGAAAACCCGCGGCUUAACUGCGGGCUUGCAGUUGAUACGGGCAGGCUAGAGUUCGGUAGGGGAGACUGGAAUUCCUGGUGUAGCAGUGAAAUGCGUAGAUAUCAGGAGGAAUACCGAUGGCGAAGGCAGGUCUCUGGGCUGACACUGACGCUCAUGCACGAAAGCGUGGGGAGCAAACAGG